AACUUGUUCCCGUAAAGAGUGGCUACCGGCUGCCGCCGCCCCGCCGCUCGGGCGGGAGGGCUGCGGGGCUCGGGAGGGCUGCGGGGCUCGGGAGGGCUGCGGGGGCGGCUCGGGGCUCAGGGAGGGCUGCGGGGCCGGCUCGGGGCUCAGGGCUGCGGGAGGGCUCUGGGGCUCGGGGUUGUGGGGCCGGCUCGGGGCUGCGGGAGGGCUGCGGGGCCGGCUCGGGGCUCAGGGAGCGCUGCGGGGCUCAGGGCUUCUGGAGGGCCAGCUCGGGGCUCGGGGCUGCGGGAGGGCUCCGGGGCUCCGGGGCUCGGCUCCCUCGCUGGGGGCCGCUCGCUGCCCGUGCCCGGCGGGGCUGGCCGGUGCCCCCCCGCUCCUUCCCCGGGUAGCGAUCAGCCCGGCGGCUCCGCCUGAGGAGGGGGCACGGAGAGCCCCGAGCAGGGCAGGGAUCCCUCAGGAGCGGGUGGCCGUGUCUGGCCGGGCACGAGAAGCGCCGCCGGGUCAGCCUUUGCCGUGCGCAGCUCUGGCCUUGGGGGUGUUUGCCGCAGACGCCGUGCGCAAAGACAAAGUUUGGCACAAACACCUGUCUGGAGGUGUGAGAAGGAGGCGGGAAAACCAUGGACUUCCACUGUCCCGAAGCUCGGCGCUCCCCGUGUGGGGGACGAGCGGGGCCUGGCGCGCGGCGCCGCAGUGACACAUGCGCGACGCGGGCAGUGGCUCGCGCCUGACACCCGGUGGCGCGCAGCAGUACGGCAGUGGAACAGCGCGCAUGCGCGUUUGCCAGCGGAGGCUCUUUGGACGUGGGAAUUCAGGGCAAAAAGGAAACCCCCGUGAGCAUGCGUGGUGCUGUGGAAUGGGAGGCGCAUGCACAGUGACGUGCCCGGCGCGGAGCCGGGGCCGCCCGGCAGAGCUUUUCCUGGGACGCAAACCCUAGGGUUUUCCUGGGAAAUAAAACCUGGCUUUUUCCUGGGACA
rnacentral:lncRNA from 1 species